rnacentral:lncRNA from 1 species
CUCUCAUGCAGUUCUUCAAAUAGAUGGAAGAUGUUCAUAGGAUCACUGUGAAGAGCGAAUUAGAUGUUUUAUAAUAACUACAGUAUGAUGAAAAUCCUGACUUGUUACAACAUUAAUGUCAUCCAGAAAAUGAUGGAAAACUAACAGCUCAAGAGUUUUUAAUGUUGGGACAUGCCACUUAUAAACUCCUAAUUACCCGAACUAGAAAAGAUGAACAUUCGUUUUAAAAUUUGCAGCAUCUUCUUUCCAUACUCUCUAAAUGUUUUUGGAAUUACACCUUUACAGGAACUGUUUCACAAAUUUCAAAGCAGUAUAAUUAUUCCUGUGGUAGAAGGGAUACUACGCUGAAAUGCAACAUUCUGCUUAUAGUCCUCUUAUGAAACGUAAAUAAAAUUAACACGAAACAACAAUGUUACCAUUUAGUAUACCUUUUUUUUGCCGUUGUUAAUUGAGACAUAGAGUAAACUAAAAUUCUUUCAAAGUAGCAGUAACUAAAAACAUACACAUAAUCACACUUCCUCAUUUCAGAAUGUUAGACUGCUGGAAU